rnacentral:rRNA from 1 species
CUCGUAGGCGGCCAACUCAGUCGGACGUGAAAUCCCUCGGCUUAACCGGGGAACUGCGUCCGAUACUGGAUGGCUUGAGUGUGGGAGAGGGAUGCGGAAUUCCAGGUGUAGCGGUGAAAUGCGUAGAUAUCUGGAGGAACACCGGUGGCGAAGGCGGCAUCCUGGACUACUACUGACGCUGAGGAGCGAAAGCCAGGGGAGCAAACG